UAUNGGUCAAUGGUCGGGAGACUGAACCAGCNAAGCCGCGUGAGGGAGGAAGGUACAGAGUAUCGUAAACCUCUUUUGUCAGGGAACAAAGGCGGGGACGUGUCCCCGGAUGAGUGUACCUGAAGAAAAAGCAUCGGCUAACUCCGUGCCAGCAGCCGCGGUAAUACGGAAGAUGCGAGCGUUAUCCGAAUUUAUUGGGUUUAAAGGGUGCGCAGGCGGUCUGUUAAGCCAGCGGUCAAAGCCCGGGGCUCAACCCCGGCCCGCCGUUGAAACUGGCAGUCUCGAGUUGGAGAGAAGUAUGCGGAGUGCGCGGUGUAGCGGUGAAAUGCAUAGAUAUCGCGCAGAACUCCGAUUGCGAAGGCAGCAUGCCGGCUCCACACCGACGCUGAGGCACGAAAGCGUGGGUAUCGAACAGG
rnacentral:rRNA from 1 species